UCAAAUUCAAAAAAAUGACUAGGCUUC
rnacentral:piRNA from 1 species